rnacentral:lncRNA from 1 species
AAUAACCAGAUCUCACAAGAACUCACUAUCUCAAAGACAGCAGCAAGCCAUGAGGGAUCUACCCCCAUGGUCAAAACAACUCCCACCAUGCCCCAACUCCAGCACUGGAGACUGCAAUUUAACUUGAAAUCUGGGUGGAGAUAAAUAUCCAAAUUAUAUCAGAGGGCCUUCCCUCGAACCAAACCUCCUGGUUUCCAGGUCCCCUUUCUUGCUGCUUCUGGGCUGGCCUCCUGGGAAGCCAAGACUGCAGUGGCUCUGAUGCUGCAUGGGGGCUGAGGCUCAGCCAUGAGGAGGCUCGUAGCUGCCACUUUGGUCUUUUGGAAUCUUUGCUCAUGAGAGUCUCCCCGUUGGGCCGCAGCCACCAUGCUGAGAAAUGAGGGUCAUGUGGAGAGGCCACAUGGAGGUUUUCUGGUCUAGAGCACAACUGAGCUCCCAGAAAACAGCCAGCAUCAAUGGCUGGGCAUGUAAGCCAGCUGGCAUGGACA